ACGGGAGAUGGAGGUGCUUCCGCGAGUCCGUCGCCACAAGUACCAGCAGCGGCACCACCAGCUGCGGCCGCUAACAACCCACCUCAACAACCACCCGUGGCUUACCCACAGCAACAACCCGUGGCUUACCCACAGCAACCACCCGUGGCUUACCCACAGCAACCAGUAGUUUACCCACAGCCACCACAAGUGGUUUUCACCCAGCCAGCCGCCCCGCCUGCCUCGCCAGCUAAACCUCCUAUUCUACAUGUGUGGGAUGGCUUCCACACUUGGGCCCAAAAUACCUUCCAAGGGGCCACGGGACAACACCCUGUGCAGUCAGGUUGACUUUUUUUUAUUGAAAAGUAAAUGUAUUACUCAAUAAAUAUUUAAUUCACAAA